rnacentral:rRNA from 1 species
GCGGCUUAAUUUGACUCAACGCGGGGUAAUUUACCAGGUAUAACAUGGUAUAGUAUUUUAUCAUGAUAGUGGUGCAUGGCCGUUUCCAAUGGAUGCUGUGAAGUAAUGAUUAAUUUCAACAAGAUGUGAGACCCUCAUUUAGACAGAUGUAGUGAUACAUAUGAAGGAGAGGAUUAAAACAGGUCCGUUAUGCCCUAAGAUAAUCUGGGUUGCACGCGCAAUACAAUAAUAUUUGAUAUUAUGAGGGAUAAUAUAAUGUAAGAUAUAUUUGAACAUGGAAUUGCUAGUAAAUUUUAUUUAAUAAGUAGAAUUGAAUGAGUCCCUGUUCUUUGUACACACCGCCCGUCGCUAUCUAAGAUGGUAUUAUCUAUGAACAAAUUUAUAAAGUGAAUAGAUAGUACUAGAUCUGAUAUAAGUCGUAACAUGGUUGCUGUUGGAGAACCAUUAGCAGGAUCAUAA